rnacentral:rRNA from 1 species
AACUUAGCGGCGGACGGGUGAGUAAUACUUAGGAAUCUGCCUAUUAGUGGGGGACAACAGUUGGAAACGACUGCUAAUACCGCAUACGCCCUACGGGGGAAAGCAGGGGAUCUUCGGACCUUGCGCUAAUAGAUGAGCCUAAGUCAGAUUAGCUAGUUGGUGGGGUAAUGGCCUACCAAGGCGACGAUGCGUAGCCGACCUGAGAGGGUGAUCGGCCACACUGGGACUGAGACACGGCCCAGACUCCUACGGGAGGCAGCAGUAGGGAAUCUUCCGCAAUGGACGAAAGUCUGACGGAGCAACGCCGCGUGAGUGACGAAGGUUUUCGGAUCGUAAAACUCUGUUGUGAGGGAAGAACACGUACCAGCUAACUACUGGUACCUUGACGGUACCUCACCAGAAAGCCACGGCUAACUACGUGCCAGCAGCCGCGGUAAUACGUAGGUGGCAAGCGUUGUCCGGAAUUAUUGGGCGUAAAGCGCGCGCAGGCGGUCCUUUAAGUCUGAUGUGAAAGCCCACGGCUCAACCGUGGA